CCAAACAGGCUCUCUACGUCUCGUCGAGUCCCCUUUCCAUUACUGCCAAAAGUGGAAGAGGAGCUACAGCAUAUGCUAAAGUCAGGAAUCAUAGAAGAGGUCACUGAAGCAACAGACUGGUGUGCACCAAUGGUGCCUGUGAUAUAGAAGAACAGCAAGUGAUGCAGAGCUCUGGAUGUCUUGUAACAUCUGAAGCACUUUCGAAGACCAAGAAGGCAGGUGGCAUGACCAGCAGUCUGGAGCGUUACCCUGACCUGACCUGACCUGACCCAGAACCAGAACCAGGUGCUGGGGCUGUGAUUAUGAGUCUCAGAAGGCCAUCCAGCCUCCAGCAUUCCCCGAAUCCACCAUAUGGACACCAACUGCUAUAUGUGAUGAACUCAAAUGAGCACAAGCGCUUUUCAUCCACAUAAAAUACAUUGGUCAUACCAAAUGUAGUUAAUGAAGUAUGGGUUCAUAUGCUUAUUUAUAUUUGUUUGUCUAAUUAAG